rnacentral:rRNA from 1 species
AGAGUUUGAUCCUGGCUCAGAACGAACGUUGGCGGCGUGCUUAACACAUGCAGGUCGAACGAGAACGUCCCGGCUUGCCGGGAUUAGUAAAGUGGCGCACGGGUGAGUAACACGUGAGUAAUUUCCCUCUAAGCUUGGGAUAACACUGCGAAAGCGGUGCUAAUACCGAAUAAGAUCACGGUAUCACAUGAUACAGUGGGAAAAGGUGGCCUCUGUAUAUGCUAUCACUUGGAGAUGAGCUCGCGGACCAUUAGCUUGUUGGUAGGGUAACGGCCUACCAAGGCUGAGAUGGUUAGCUGGUCUGAGAGGAUGAUCAGCCACACUGGAACUGAGACACGGUCCAGACUCCUACGGGAGGCAGCAGUGGGGAAUAUUGCGCAAUGGGGGAAACCCUGACGCAGUGACGCCGUGUGAGUGAUGAAGGUUUUCGGAUCGUAAAGCUCUGUCAGAUGGGAAGAAUAAAGGCAGGGAAAAUAUUUCUGCCUGAUGACGUACCAUCAGAGAAGCACCGCUAACU